AUAAAGCCAGGGUGGCCCUAUGUGCCCUGCGCAUCCUCAGACUGACUGGGGACCCGACUGGAGAGAACCACAGAAAACCACACAAUAACAAAGACAGACGAAGUGUAGGCAAGGCAUGACGGGUGACUACACUUGAGGGCUGGGGAGAGAAGACGACCAUGUUGACGGUCUCGGCAUGAACCACCGCCAAAAGCAUCUCCCUUGGAAUUCUGUCCCGCUGCCACAGUGCUCCCCACCUUCUACAUCAACGCUUGGAAGUGCUCUCUAGGCCGACCAGUAAUCGUUCCAGUCGUCUGCGGGACCCCGACGAGCGUCACUGGGUACAGACCAGAUUCAGCCGGAAGAGAAAGCGCCGCAGGGAGAGACUCGAACUCCACUCCGCUGGUGAGCAGCCCCUAAACCAAGCGACGCAGCAUCGUAAGCCCGGAGCAAACCUACUGUGUGUGCUCAGUUCCAAAUGAGCCUUAAGACAUUGGCUAUGGCACAUCGGAACUGCUGG
rnacentral:lncRNA from 1 species